AGAGUUUGAUCAUGGCUCAACCGUGGAACUGCGGGGUGAACUUCCGGUCUUGAGACAGGUAGGGGCCGACGGAACUAUCGGUGGAGCGGUGAAAUGCGUAGAUAUCGAUGGGAACGCCAAUGGCGAAGGCAGUCGGCUGGGCCUGUUCUGACGCUCAGGCACGAAAGCGUGGGGAGCAAACAGGAUUAGAUACCCUGGUAGUCCACGCCGUAAACGAUGUGCACUAGAUCGGAGGGGUGUUCACGCCUUUCCGGUCGAAGGGAAACCGUUAAGUGCACCGCCUGGGGAGUACGGUCGCAAGGCUAAAACUCAAAGGAAUAGACGGGGGCUCGCACAAGCGGUGGAGCGCGUGGCUUAAUUCGUAGAUAAGCGAAAAACCUUACCGGGGUUUGAAACCAAACUGCACGACUAGGGAAACCUAGUUUCUUUCGAAGGUGUUUGGCAGGUGAUGCAUGGCUGUCGUCAGUUCGUGGUUUGAAUUGUUCCCUUAAGUGGGGUAACGAACGCAACCCUCGUUGUCUGUUAUAUUUGUCAGACGAUACUGCCCCCUCACGGGGGAGGAAGGUGAGGAUGACGCCAAGUCAGCAUGUCCCUUUGAUAUCCCGGGCUGCACACGCGCUACAAUGGUUACUACAGCGGGGCGCGAUCUCGUAAGAGUCAGCAAAUCCUAUAAAAGUAACCUCAGUUCGGAUUGUGGUCUGCAACUCGACCACAUGAAGUUGGAAUCGCUAGUAAUCGUGGAUCAGCUACGCCACGGUGAAUACGUUCUCGAGCCUUGUACUCACCGCCCGUCAAGUCAGGGAAGCUGGGAGUACCCGACGUUCGUCUUUAUGGCGACCUAAGGUAAAUUCAGUGACAAGGACUAAGUCGUAACAAGGUAACC
rnacentral:rRNA from 1 species